AUUGAACGCUGGCGGCAUGCCUAACACAUGCAAGUCGAACGAGUGGCGGACGGGUGAGUAAUGUCUGGGAAAGUGCCCAAUGGAGGGGGAUAACUACUGGAAACGGUAGCUAAUACCGCAUACUAUCAGAUGUGCCCAGAGGGGAUUAGCUAGUUGGUGGGGUAACGGCUCACCAAGGCGACGAUCCCUAGCUGGUCUGAGAGGAUGACCGGCCACACGGGAACUGAGACACGGCCCAGACUCCUACGGGAGGCAGCAGUGGGGAAUUUUGCACAAUGGGCGAAAGCCUGAUGCAGCCAUGCCGCGUGUAUGAUGAAGGCCUUCGGGUUGUAAAGUACUUUUGGCGGAGAAGCGUUACCCGCAGAAGAAGCACCGGCUAACUACGUGCCAGCAGCCGCGGUAAUAC
rnacentral:rRNA from 1 species